AUUGAACGCUGGCGGCAGGCCUAACACAUGCAAGUCGAGCGGAUGAAGGGAGCUUGCUCCUGGAUUCAGCGGCGGACGGGUGAGUAAUGCCUAGGAAUCUGCCUGGUAGUGGGGGAUAACGUCCGGAAACGGGCGCUAAUACCGCAUACGUCCUGAGGGAGAAAGUGGGGGAUCUUCGGACCUCACGCUAUCAGAUGAGCCUAGGUCGGAUUAGCUAGUUGGUGGGGUAAAGGCCUACCAAGGCGACGAUCCGUAACUGGUCUGAGAGGAUGAUCAGUCACACUGGAACUGAGACACGGUCCAGACUCCUACGGGAGGCAGCAGUGGGGAAUAUUGGACAAUGGGCGAAAGCCUGAUCCAGCCAUGCCGCGUGUGUGAAGAAGGUCUUCGGAUUGUAAAGCACUUUAAGUUGGGAGGAGGGGCAGUAGUUAAUACCUUGCUGUUUUGACGUUACCAACAGAAUAAGCACCGGCUAACUUCGUG
rnacentral:rRNA from 1 species